UCUGAUUGGUAUCAAUGUGGUUCAGUGGCAACCUAACCAACCAACCAACCAACAUUUGGUGCUAACUCAAUUCAUGAUCUAGUCAACGACACUGUGCCGUGCGGUGCGUGGAUUUAAUCUACGCUGGCCCUGAAUGAAUGAUACAAGUCAGACAGUCCACGCCUGAUUUGGGUCAUAUGUCGACCAAUAGAUGACGAGGUU
rnacentral:lncRNA from 1 species